rnacentral:rRNA from 1 species
ACGCUCGACACCUACGGGGGGCAGCAGUGGGGAAUAUUGCACAAUGGGGGAAACCCUGAUGCAGCGACGCCGCGUGGAGGAAGAAGGUCUUCGGAUUGUAAACUCCUGUUGUUGGGGAAAAAGAGGAUGGUACCCGACAAGGAAGUGACGGCUAACUACGUGCUAGCAGCCGCGGUAAUCUGAGCGGGCUGGCAAGGC